rnacentral:misc_RNA from 1 species
AAGUCGUAACAAGGUAACCGUAGGUGAACCUGCGGUUGGAUCAUUACAAAAAAAAAAGUUGUUAUGUUUUUUUGGUUUUUUUGGCGUUAACGCGUUAAAUACAAAAAAAUAUAACUAACCAACCCCCCCCCGUGAACGUAAAUAUGUACUUUUGGCAGCCCUCCAAAAAAACCUUUUUUUUUUUACUAAGAAAGGCUUGGGCUGCCAAACACUCGCUCAAAAAACUUGUUUUUUUUUGACGGGUAAAUUUGACCACACCAAUGUUAUUUUUAUAUAUCUUAAUCGUCUCCUUUUUUUUUGUUUUCAGAAAUGAAAAGAAAAGAAAAAAACAAAUAUAAUAAACAACAACUUUUGACAACGGAUCUCUUGGCUCUC